GAUCCAGCCAUGCCGCGUGCAGGAUGACGGUCCUAUGGAUUGUAAACUGCUUUUGCACAGGAAGAAACACUACUUCGUGAAGUAGCUUGACGGUACUGUAAGAAUAAGGAUCGGCUAACUCCGUGCCAGCAGCCGCGGUAAUA
rnacentral:rRNA from 1 species